rnacentral:rRNA from 1 species
GACGUAGGGCGCGAGCGUUGUCCGGAUUUAUUGGGCGUAAAGAGCUCGUAGGCGGCUUGUCGCGUCGACUGUGAAAUCCCGCGGCUCAACCGCGGGUCUGCAGUCGAUACGGGCAGGCUAGAGUUCGGUAGGGGGAGACUGGAAUUCCUGUGUAGCGGUGAAAUGCGCAGAUAUCAGGAGGAACACCGAUGGCGAAGGCAGGUCUCUGGGCCGAUACUGACGCUGAGGAGCGAAAGCGUGGGGAGCGAACAGG